AUGCUCAGGCCAGACAGCUGGCACAUUGAGAUUCAUUCUAUUAUAAAACCAGGCUCUAUUGCCUGUCAUUCUACUUUCUGAACAUCUCUUUGUGCUGUCCCUUAAUUAUUACCCCUACUCAAAGCUUCAUAUAAUCUCACAACUAUCUAAGAAGUCGUCCUGUUUCAGGCUGUUUCCUCAUUACUUUCUGAACUAUUUGCAAUUCUAACAUUCCAUGUUCUUUCUCAUUUUUAUUUCUGUUCAGACUCCAGACAUGUUCCAUUUCCCCUCUGCCUUCCCUCUCUUUACUCCACUCUAUACCCUUAUUCUCCUGGUUUGUUUAAGGUGCUCUUUUUGUGUGCCUUUAGAGCAUGUUAGUAUUUCCAUUUCAGAACACUCAUUUUUUUACUCCUACUCAGUGGUUAAGUGCUACAGGUCUCAAAUAAUAAGGUCAACAGUUCAAAUCCACUAGCUUCUCCUUGGAAGCCCUAUGGGGCAACUCUACUCUGUCCAACAGGGUUGCUAUGAGUCGGAACCAACUCAAUGGCAGUGGGUUUGUUUAUCUUGGUUUACUAGUCUGUAAAUUCCCUGAUGUCAGGGUAUGUGUUUUAAUUGUCUUUGUACAUCUAGUAUGUUUCAUAAACCUUUGGAGCAUAGUUCGAUCAAUAAAUGUUUGAUGAAUGAACCAAAGAAUGAAUGUGUUACUGAUUUCUCACACAUGCUUUCACAGGACUCAGCAAAAUAUGAAGUUCUUUAUCUUUGCCUUCAUCUUGGCCAUCAUGGCUGCCAUGAUUGGAGCUGAUUCAUCUGAAGAGCGAUUUCUUCGUAGAAGAUUCCGUGGAGAGCGUUUUGAAUAUCAGCCUUUUCCAGGAUACUAUCAACAAUAUUACCCCGCACAACCUUACCCAGGUCCAUAUGCUAACAACUUUCCUCAGUAACCACAAGACUUGAUUACACAGGUAUGCCAAGUUUAGUGACAUUUUUGCUCUCCAUAAAUAUCAAUAAUGACAUAUA